GCUGCCAGAGCGGCGUGAAAAAUUUCCCAAGGCAGAGCGAAAACCUUUCCUGAGCGACUGAGCAUGCCCGGUGGUGAAAGGGCAUGUGGUUUAAACUCUCCAUGGGCUGACAAAAUCAGAUUUCUGACUCUGCAAAUCUAAGAAGACUCUGCUCCUGGAAGGCCUCUCCACUGACAGACUGUUCCUGGUGCCUUCAUCCUCCUGCUGCUAUCUGGGACCCACUGCUCUCUAAAUGAGUCCUUAGCUGUGAUCCCAGACAUCCACCUGCCAUCAUCCUUGGAGCUCCCUUCCCCACUGCCCUGAAGUGGGUUUUCCAUUCCUUGGUUUACCUUCCCAUUUUGUUGGAACACCUCCUCCAGUAACUUCCUGAGAAAGGGUCUGGAGAUGAGCGUUCCAAGAUCAGUAAGGAUUCCAAGCUUCCGGAGACUCCAGUUGCUGUCUUGUUGCUCCACCAUCCCUCGGGCAUGGCCCUUGUCUGAAUGAAUAUUUGACCACAUGGGUGGAUGGAUGUUCCAGCCAGGAGG